rnacentral:misc_RNA from 1 species
GUGAAUCAUCGAAUCUUUGAACGCAUAUGGCGCUCGAGGCUUCGGCCAAGAGCAUGUCUGCCUCAGCGUCGGGUUAAUAUCACACCCACAUACCCUGUGUAUGUGAUUCCGUGUGGACCUGGCCGUUCCAGUUCAGUGCUCGACCACCUUGACUGGUGAUCGAAUCAGUCACCCUGGAUCGGCUGAAGAGCAGAGGCUAACUCUGGACCCGCUACGGGCCGCAAUUGAGUAGGCACUUGUUGCUAAUACUUUAAUUGUUGGUCUGGGACUAUUGUUCGGCCCUAACCAGGAAAUUAACCU